UGUCUGACCUUCUGUGGGAAAAAAUGGGCAAACGUAAAAUGAAAAUCACAACCAGUCAAGAUGGACUGCACAGUGUUGGAAUGGAAAAUGCUGUUGCUGGUGAUGGGGAGCCUUGUGAAUUUGGCUGCAAGCACCCACCUGCUCAGGUAAGACUUUUGACCUUUUACCCAGACUUUGACCUGGUUGGCUGUAGCCCGUAGUAACACAUGGGAUGUGCAUGACAUCACCCCUGUCAAGAUGUUUGCCAUUCUUGUCUGUCCAGUAGAUGUAUGUUUGUCUGAGCUUCUUCUUUCUAAAAGGAAUGUUUGAAUUGUCCAAAUGUUAUUGAAAUACCAGUUUUUCAAGUUCACAGUAUGUUCAUGUGUACUCUGUGAUACUGUGCACCGUACCUGUCAACAGCUUAGAAGUAUUUUAGUCAAACUGCUUAUGUUAUAGAGAUGUAAGAAGCUCUGCUGAAGUGAGAUCAGAUCAUUGUAAAAACUGUCAGCCUUCCUUACUGUUUCAUCAAAGAUCAUUUACAUAGAUGAUUUUGUCUUCUUCUCUCCUAAAAAAAUGAAAAUCCACCAACUGCAACCAUUAGGAAGAAAAUUCCAGUGAUUAUGUAUUAUAUUAGCCCCUUGUUUUUACCUCUUCUGUCUGUUGUAUGGUCUGGUAGUUUUGAAUCCUAAGGUGUUUGGGGUAUAGAGGUUACCUCUCUGACACAGUAUGUACCUCACAUGGUUUGAACCAGAGUCAGUGUGACUGAUGAUUUUUUAUUAGGCCAGAAAUAAGUGUUCUGCUACAUUUACUGACCCUCACAUUUAAAAAUGUCUGCCUCAUUAGAAGUUGUCUUCUGUUUUCUGUUUGUGCUGGCCUGAACAUUAUGAGCUGUCAGACAGCUCUGCAGUGUUGGAUUAAAUUCGUGACGUGUUAACUUC